AAUAGAUACCCCGGUAGUCCACGCCGUAAACGAUGAGUGCUAAGUGUUAGGGGGUUUCCGCCCCUUAGUGCUGCAGCUAACGCAUUAAGCACUCCGCCUGGGGAGUACGGUCGCAAGACUGAAACUCAAAGGAAUUGACGGGGGCCCGCACAAGCGGUGGAGCAUGUGGUUUAAUUCGAAGCAACGCGAAGAACCUUACCAGGUCUUGACAUCCCACUGACCGCUAUGGAGACAUAGUUUUCCCUUCGGGGUACAGUGGUGACAGGUGGUGCAUGGUUGUCGUCAGCUCGUGUCGUGAGAUGUUGGGUUAAGUCCCGCAACGAGCGCAACCCUUGAUCUUAGUUGCCAUCAUUUAGUUGGGCACUCUAAGGUGACUGCCGGUGACAAACCGGAGGAAGGUGGGGAUGACGUCAAAUCAUCAUGCCCCUUAUGACCUGGGCUACACACGUGCUACAAUGGACGGUACAACGGUUGCCAACCCGCGAGGGGAGCUAAUCCGAUAAACCGUUCUCAGUUCGGAUUGUAGGCUGCAACUCGCCUACAU
rnacentral:rRNA from 1 species